CCUACGGGUGGCAGCAGUGGGGGAUAUUGCACAAUGGGGGGAACCCUGAUGCAGCGACGCCGCGUGGGUGAAGAAGCGCUUCGGCGUGUAAAGCCCUGUCAGCAGGGAAGAAAAUGACGGUGCCUGAAGCAGAAGCCCCGGCUAACUACGUGCCAGCAGCCGCGGUCAUACGGAGGGGGCAAGCGUUAUCCGGAUUUACUGGGGGUAAAGGGAGCGGAGACGGCGGUGCAAGCCAGGAGUGAAAGCCGGGGGCCCAACCCCGGGACUGCUCUUGGAACUGCAUGGCUGGAGUGCAGGAGAGGCAGGCGGAAUUCCUGGUGUAGCGGUGAAAUGCGUAGAUAUGAGGAGGAACACCGGUGGCGAAGGCGGCCUGCUGGACUGCAACUGACGUUGAGGCCCGAAAGCGUGGGGAGCAAACAGGAUUAGAUACCCGAGUAGUC
rnacentral:rRNA from 1 species